rnacentral:rRNA from 1 species
GCUUACGGCCAUACCAGCCUGAUACGCCCGAUCUCGUCCGAUCUCGGAAGCUAAGCAGGGUCGGGCCUGGUUAGUACUUGGAUGGGAGACCGCCUGGGAAUACCAGGUGCUGUAAGCU